AUUGCCCUAGUAACGGCGAGUGAAGCGGCAACAGCUCAAAUUUGAAAUCUGGCUUCGGCCCGAGUUGUAAUUUGUAGAGGAAGCUUUUGGUGAGGCACCUUCUGAGUCCCCUGGAACGGGGCGCCAUAGAGGGUGAGAGCCCCGUAUAGUCGGAUGCCGAUCCAAUGUAAAGCUCCUUCGACGAGUCGAGUAGUUUGGGAAUGCUGCUCAAAAUGGGAGGUAAAUUUCUUCUAAAGCUAAAUACCGGCCAGAGACCGAUAGCGCACAAGUAGAGUGAUCGAAAGAUGAAAAGCACUUUGAAAAGAGGGUUAAAUAGCACGUGAAAUUGUUGAAAGGGAAGCGUUUGUGACCAGACUUGCGCCGUUCCGAUCAUCCGGUGUUCUCACCGGUGCACUCGGGGCGGCUCAGGCCAGCAUCGGUUUUGGCGGGGGGAUAAAGGUUCGGGGAACGUAGCUCCUUCGGGAGUGUUAUAGCCCCGGGCGUAAUGCCCUCGCCGGGACCGAGGUUCGCGCAUCUGCAAGGAUGCUGGCGUAAUGGUCAUCAACGACCCGUCUUGAAACACGGACCAAGGAGUCAAGGUUUUGCGCGAGUGUUUGGGUGUAAAACCCGCACGCGUAAUGAAAGUGAACGUAGGUGAGAGCUUCGGCGCAUCAUCGACCGAUCCUGAUGUAUUCGGAUGGAUUUGAGUAAGAGCGUUAAGCCUUGGACCCGAAAGAUGGUGAACUAUGCUUGGAUAGGGUGAAGCCAGAGGAAACUCUGGUGGAGGCUCGCAGCGGUUCUGACGUGCAAAUCGAUCGUCAAAUCUGAGCAUGGGGGCGAAAGACUA
rnacentral:rRNA from 1 species